rnacentral:rRNA from 1 species
UACGUAGGGCGCAAGCGUUAUCCGGAAUUAUUGGGCGUAAAGAGCUCGUAGGCGGUUUGUCGCGUCUGCCGUGAAAAGUCCGGGGGCUCAACUCCGGAUCUGCGGUGGGUACGGGGCAGACUAGAGUGAUGUAGGGGGAGACUGGAAUUCCUGGUGUAGCGGUGAAAAUGCGCAGAUAUCAGGAGGAACACCGAUGGCGAAAGGCAGGUCU